UACGUAGGUGGCGAGCGUUGUCCGGAUUUACUGGGCGUAAAGGGAGCGUAGGCGGACUUUUAAGUGAGAUGUGAAAUACCCGGGCUCAACUUGGGUGCUGCAUUUCAAACUGGAAGUCUAGAGUGCAGGAGAGGAGAAUGGAAUUCCUAGUGUAGCGGCGAAAUGCGUAGAGAUUAGGAAGAACACCAGUGGCGAAGGCGAUUCUCUGGACUGUAACUGACGCUGAGGCUCGAAAGCGUGGGGAGCAAACAGGAUUAGAUACCCUGGUA
rnacentral:rRNA from 1 species